CUUAUUUCUCCUAAGCAUGUGCAGUGGCUGGAAAGGUUUAUUUUACAGACCUAGGAAAAUACUGGUCCCAGUUUUAUUAGAAAACUGGACAGCGUGAUCCAGAGCUCCUGCGGUGCUGCCAUGGGGUAACCCAGAAUUCAAGCACAGGGAAAAUGGACUCCUCUCCUGAGGUGGUGCACUCUGCUGCCAAGUUGUUGCGGCCUCGAUGAGGAGGGACAGCCAUUACCUCUGGGCCAACUACAAGAUUGGGAUAAAGAGUCAGCCAGCAAUGCAGGAAGGGCCCAAGCAAGACCCGCAGCAAUCAGAGUUGGCUGUAGGUGAUUCCAAUAGGCCCUGGAAUGCCUCAAGAUCUUCCUACAAUGGGACCAAUUUCUUAAGAACUGUGUACUGGGUAUCUCUUCUACUUUCAUCUCUCUCGGGUUAGACGGCCUCCCUCCUGACCCAAGGCCCUCUUGAGUUUCCUGUUUAUCGCCAUCGACUGGAAGACUACGUUUGUUCUAAUCAAGAUUUGGAAGGGAAGCAAGUUGGAACUCUCCUGGGAAAGACCUUACCUGUCUUACUUACCACAGAGACUGCUGUUCGGACUGCAGAGCGAGGUUGGACCCAUCACACACGGGUUAAGGGAAGACACACCUCAACUUGAACAGCCAUACCAGGGCAUGUCUCCUUGAAAGUGAUGCUAAAAUCUGUGAGCUGUCUUAAUAACCAUCAUGUACUGGGCUCUAUUUGCUUAAGGAAUCUGGCAAAUUGCAGGGGCUUACAAUGUGGGCUGGAGAAAUGUGUACAAUCUGGAUCAUGCUUACCCAGUUAAGUUAUUGGUUAUAGAUAACUUGAAUGACUUGGAUAUUUCAGCCUUUAGGUCAAAAGAUUGGCUAGGACUCGAUUUAGGAAUAGAUGUCACAGGACAAGAUCCCCUAGGCUACUGCCACCACCAUGAAAAUAAAAGUAGGAUAUAAGGGAACGAAUGCCUGGGUGGAAUGGAUUCAAUACUCUGUACACGCCCUGAAUAAAAGCAACUGUUACACUUUCGUGGCAGGAAGGCUAGAGGCCCAAGUGGUCCCAUUCCCAUUCGGAUGGACCUCAGACAGUAACAGGAUGGAAUGUGUGCUUGCCUUGUACCAGGAGGAAACUGCCUGGGGAAACGCUUCCUGUAAGACUCUCACCCUGUUGUUCCCAUCGAACAGGGGUAAAGAGCUAGGACUGCCCCAAAACGAUCCGGCCUGUCCUCCGAUAUAAACUAUACCUCCUCCCUCUCAAGGGGGGGGAACAGUGCUCGGAAUUUAUGAGAAAUGUAUCCGAUGCGUAAAUGGUCGAGUAUCCUCAGAAGCCCAUCAUGCUGCACUGUGUGUAUCCCGUGCUGAUGUCUGGUGGUAUCAUGGGGGACCCUGACUUGUGGCCUUGACCAGCAACUGGAGUGGACCUUGCGCUCUGAUACAAUUGGCUAUUCCUUUCACAUUGACAUAUUGUAAACCUUUUUCAAUGGACAGACGGACUAGGAAGAGGAGAGAGUCCAGGGGGGCUCCUUUGACCCCCAUAUACAUACAGAUCCCAUUGGGAUUCUAGGAGGAGUGCCAAGGAGUUGAAGGCUAGAAAUCAGAUUGCUGCAGGGUUUGAGUCUGUCCUGUGUUGGUGGCCACUGUGAACAAGGAUGUGGUGGAUUAGUUAUAUUUUCUAGAACCAGCAAAGGCUCAUUAACUACACUCGAGACACAGUUAAAGGGAUAGUGAACACCUAGGUGCCAGCAGCAGGGUGCCCUGGGAGAACAGGCAGAAGAAGGAGGAAGAUGUGUAAUGUUAGGGCCAGUGCUGCACAUUCAUCCUGACAACAAAGCACAUAGACUGUCACUGACCCUAAGGCACUGGCAGCUUUAGGGACAAGUGAGCUGGAACCUGGGAUCAAGGUUCCUUUCUCUGAUGCACAAGAGCAAUGGUGUCCACUUCACCCCUUUGAUUAGGAGCUACAGUGAUGGGAUGUCACAACAUCCCAUGUCUUAUCCAAGCGUUAAUUGAAACCGCAUGGACCAAACAGCUAAUUAGUCUUCUCCUAGACACUGCAGAGCAGGAAAGUCAAUGGAUGUCAGCCGAGUUUGAAGAAAAGAGUUUAAAUAAAGAAAAGGGGGGAAUUUGUGGGAAACCGCCUAUUGUCUUCACUAGCAGAGAGGUGUGGACAAGGAACCUGGAAGGCUGGAGACCUUGAUCUCUGGAAAAGUUCAGAGCCAUACACCCACUGUCUAGUUGAGACAAAGGUAGCUAAAGCAACAUCCACCUUUUAAUCUUAUGUAAAUCCGUGCUGAUAGGCUAUCACUGAGCUAUUACUGGAAUUGCUUGCCUAAGAGCUAUGGGUGUACCCCAAACCUGAGUAAAAUGGAUGGCAAGGCCAGAGCAAAGCAAAGUCCUACCUUGGGCUUCUGCCUGGCCCUCAAUUUCCAAAUUAUUAUUUCUUGUCUCUUUCAUCUGUGCGCGACCUCCUCCAGAACCUGAACCCUGAACCACGCAGGACGUGUGACACUUUCAGGAAUUGUGAGAAUAAACAAGUCAUCUUUUCUGUCAAAGAACAGUUUAGAAAGCUGCCAAGUUGGCCACAGGGCUUGCAGCUCCCCUGGGGGCUGCCAACCCCUCCCUUUGAAUUAGCCUAUCAGGAAAGACUGUGCACCUGAGCUCCAAUCAAGAGCAAGGGACAGGUCAGGCGCAUCAGGGAUUAUAAACCCGAGCAGACUACCUGCUAGGUGCA